CUGUGACCCACACAGUCCCUUCCAACCCAAUCACUCUACAACUCUAUGAUCUACGAGGUCCCUUCCAACACAACCACUCUAUGAUCUAUGAGGUCCCUUCCAACUCAACCCAACCAUUCCAUGGCUCCAUGACCGAUAAGAUCCCUUCCAACCCAACCACUCUACAGCUCUGUGAUCUAUGAGGUCCCUUCCAACCCAACCCAUGGCUCUGCAAUCCGUAAGGUAGACCUAUAAGACCCCUUCCCACUCAACCCAACCAUUUUACGUCCCUAUGACCUAUGAGGUCCCUUCCAACCCAACCACUCUAUGAUCUAUGAGGUCCCUUCCAACCCAACCCAACCAUUCCAUGGCUCCAUGACCGAUAAGAUCCCUUCCAACCCAACCACUCUACAGCUCUGUGAUCUACAAAGUCUUUUCCAACCCAACCACUCUAUGACUCUAUGAUCUGUGAGGCCCCUUCCAACCCAACCCAACCAUUCUAUGCCUCCGUGAUCAAUUAAGACCCUUUCCAACCCAACCAUUUGGUGGCUCUGGGAUCCAUAAGGACUCUUCCAAUCCCACCCAACCCAACCACACUACAGCUCUGUGACCCACACAGUCCCUUCCAACCCAACCACUCUACAACUCUAUGAUCUAUGAGGUCCCUUCCAACACAACCACUCUAUGAUCUAUGAGGUUCCUUCCAACCCAACCCAUGGCUCUUCAAUCCAUCAAGUCGACCUAUAAGAUCCCUUCCCACUCAACCCAACCAUUUUACGUCCCUCUGACCUAUAAGGUCCCUUCCAACCCAACCACUCUAUGAUCUAUGAGGUCCCUUCCAACCCAACCCAACCAUUCCAUGGCUCCAUGACCGAUAAGAUCCCUUCCAACCCAACCACUCUACAACUCUAUGAUCUAUGAGGUCCCUUCCAACCCAACCCAUGGCUCUUCAAUCCAUAAAGUCGACCUAUAAGACCCCUUCCCACUCAACCCAACCAUUUUACGUCCCUCUGACCUAUAAGGUCCCUUCCAACCCAACCACUCUAUGAUCUAUGAGGUCCCUUCCAACCCAACCCAACCCAACCAUUCCAUGGCUCCAUGACCGAUAAGAUCCCUUCCAACCCAACCACUCUACAGCUCUGUGAUCUACAAAGUCUUUUCCAACCCAACCACUCUAUGAUCUGUGAGGCCCCUUCCAACCCAACCCAACCAUUCUAUGCCUCCGUGAUCAAUUAAGAUCCUUUCCAACCCAACCAUUUGGUGGCUCUGUGAUCCAUAAGGACUCUUCCAAUCCCACCCAACCCAACCACACUACAGCUCUGUGACCCACACAGUCCCUUCCAACCCAACCACUCUACAACUCUAUGAUCUAUGAGGUCCCUUCCAACCCAACCCAUGGCUCUGCAAUCCGUAAGGUCGACCUAUAAGACCCCUUCCCACUCAACCCAACCAUUUUACGUCCCUAUGACCUAUGAGGUCCCUUCCAACCCAACCCAACCAUUCCAUGGCUCCAUGACCGAUAAGAUCCCUUCCAACCCAACCACUCUACAACUCUAUGAUCUAUGAGGUCCCUUCCAACCCAACCCAUGGCUCUGCAAUCCAUAAAGUCGACCUAUAAGACCCCUUCCCACUCAACCCAACCAUUUUACGUCCCUAUGACCUACAAGGCCCCUUCCAACCCAACCACUCUAUGAUCUAUGAG
ensembl:lncRNA